rfam:Schistosoma rodhaini strain Burundi genome assembly, scaffold: SROB_scaffold0004555
AUCCAGCUGACGAGUCCUAAAUAGGAUGAAGUGGCGUGCGUCAAACUGGAU